rnacentral:rRNA from 1 species
UGGGGAAUAUUGCACAAUGGGCGCAAGCCUGAUGCAGCCAUGCCGCGUGUGUGAAGAAGGCCUUCGGGUUGUAAAGCACUUCAGCGAGGAGGAAGGUGGUGAACUUAAUACGUUCAUCAAUUGACGUUACUCGCAGAAGAAGCACCGGCUAACUCCGUGCCAGCAGCCGCGGUAAUACGGAGGGUGCAAGCGUUAAUCGGAAUUACUGGGCGUAAAGCGCACGCAGGCGGUUUGUUAAGUCAGAUGUGAAAUCCCCGGGCUCAACCUGGGAACUGCAUUUGAAACUGGCAAGCUAGAGUCUCGUAGAGGGGGGUAGAAUUCCAGGUGUAGCGGUGAAAUGCGUAGAGAUCUGGAGGAAUACCGGUGGCGAAGGCGGCCCCCUGGACGAAGACUGACGCUCAGGUGCGAAAGCGUGGGGAGCAAACAGAUUAGAUACCCUGGUAGUCCACGCUGUAAACGAUGUCGAUUUUGGAGGUUGUGCCCCUUGAGGCGUGGCUUCCGGAGCUAACGCGUUAAAUCGACCGCC